GGGAGUGUGCAGGAGUUGGGGAUGCAGAUGGCCCUGCCCGGAAGGGGGCCGCCCCCAGGAAUCCAGGCUGUGCCUCCUUCCAGGGAACUGCGACCAAAGCCCAAAGGAAGGAGGAAGUGCGAGCCUUGCUCCCCAGUGACUCACUACAUCCUUUGGGGCAAGUCAACUCUCACCGGGGCAGGAAGCCUGCCCGCCUUCCCCCAGGGGAUCCUCUGCCCUGGGUCAGCCUAUUCAAAACACCGGCCCAAUUCGCCCACCCACACCCUUCAUUCUUCUACCUCGAGAUGUUUGCAGAUACCUGCCUGGGUCCACAAGGAAACAUCCUGACCCUGUCCACCUGUGGAUGGCUGCAAGAAAGAAGAAAUUGGGACUUGCCUGGUGGUCCAGUGGUAAAGAAUCCGCCUUCUGAUGCAGGGGACAUGGGUUCGAUCCCUGGUUGGGGAACUAAGAUCCCACAUGCCGUGGGGCAAAUAAGCCCGCAUGCCACAACUACUGAGCCCGCGUGCCUCAACUAGAGAGAAAAAAACCCACACGCCACAACUAGAGAGAAGCCCGCGCUACAAUGAAAGAUCCCAAGUGCCUCAACUAAGACCUGACGCAGCCAAAUAUAAAAAUAAAAUAAAUAAAAAUAAAAUAAAUAAAUAUUUUUAAAAAAGAAAGAAAGAAGAAAUGAACACAUCCCCUCCCUGAGGCUGGCCAUUCCAGGGGACAUUUGCAAAUCUUAUGGCCUUUUUACUUGACUUCCUCAUCUCCUCCCCUUCUCUGUUCUGUAAAAGAAACUGGCAUCCAAACCCCGCGAAGAUGGUUCUUCGGAGACAUUAGUUUGCCAUCUUCUCGUUCUGCCGGCUUUCCGAAUAAAGUCGUUAAUCCUUGC